UACGUAGGGGGCAAGCGUUGUCCGGAAUCAUUGGGCGUAAAGAGCGUGUAGGCGGCUCGGUAAGUCUGCUGUGAAAGUCCAGGGCUCAACCCUGGAAUGCCGGUGGAAACUGUCGAGCCUAGAGUCCGGGAAGAGGCGAGUGGAAUUCCUGGUGUAGCGGUGAAAAUGCGCAGAUAUCAGGAGGAACACCGAUGGCGAAGGCAGCUCGCUGGGACGGUACUGACGCUGAGACGCGAAA
rnacentral:rRNA from 1 species